UGGCGAACGGGUGAGUAACACGUGGGUAACCUGCCCAUCAGAAGGGGAUAACACUUGGAAACAGGUGCUAAUACCGUAUAACACUAUUUUCCGCAUGGAAGAAAGUUGAAAGGCGCUUUUGCGUCACUGAUGGAUGGACCCGCGGUGCAUUAGCUAGUUGGUGAGGUAACGGCUCACCAAGGCAACGAUGCAUAGCCGACCUGAGAGGGUGAUCGGCCACACUGGGACUGAGACACGGCCCAGACUCCUACGGGAGGCAGCAGUAGGGAAUCUUCGGCAAUGGACGAAAAGUCUGACCGAGCAAACGCCGCGUGAGUGAAGAAGAUUUUUCGGAUUCGUAAAAACUUCUGG
rnacentral:rRNA from 1 species